GAUAACUUAUACUGUUCCUGACUACGCUUAUCGACGGGAAGCAACAAGAUGAUGAAUUUAACUCUCCUUCUAUUGAUUGCACUGAUCUUUGCUGUAGUGAGCAGUUAUCCGUUAGGAUGGUAUGGAUACGGCUAUGGUGGCUACCCUUGGAGUUCCGGCUACUACGGUCUAGGUGAUUACUAUGGCGGUUAUGGUUACUCUCCGUAUUGGUAUUAUUAACGGUUUGACUCACGGCACACUGAUUCUGGAAAUAUUAUAAACAAUUCUUGUUAAUAAGCGCAUCAAUUAAAUGGUCGUAUGUACGAAUAAUACCAAAUUAAUGUAUUUUCAAUUAUUUCAUAUCAACACGUAACUUAGAUGCUAAACUACAUUCUAACAUUUUUGAGGAUAAAUAAUAGAGAAUAAAUGGAAAUAAACUUAA